rnacentral:rRNA from 1 species
UUAACCUAGGGGGGCAGCAGUGGGGAAUAUUGCACAAUGGGGGAAACCCUGAUGCAGCGACGCCGCGUGAGUGAAGAAGUAUUUCGGUAUGUAAAGCUCUAUCAGCAGGGAAGAGAAUGACGGUACCUGACUAAGAAGCCCCGGCUAACUACGUGCCAGCAGCCGCGGUAAUACGUAGGGGGCAAGCGUUAUCCGGAUUUACUGGGUGUAAAGGGAGCGUAGACGGCCAGACAAGUCAGAAGUGAAAACCCGCGGCUCAACUGCGGGAGUGCUUUGGAAACUGUUUGGCUGGAGUGCAGGAGAGG